rnacentral:snoRNA from 1 species
UGUUGAUGUGAUGAUAUAUUUUCACUGAAUUCACUUCUGUUGACUUCAAAUUAGACUACAAUUAUCUGAUCCACG